AGAGCGCAAGGGGAAUGCCUUGGCAUCAGGAGCCGAAGAAGGACGUGACAAGCUGCGAUAAGCUUCGGGGAGGAGCAAAUAUCCGUUGAUCCGGAGAUUUCCGAAUGGGGAAACCCACCAGAGCAAUACUCUGGUAUCGUGCGUUGAAUAAAAUAGGCGUACGAGGGGAACGCCCUGAACUGAAACAUCUAAGUAGGGGCAGGAAAAGACAUCAACCGAGAUUCCGCAAGUAGUGGCGAGCGAACGCGGAGGAGGCCAAACCGGUGGAUUUAUUCACCGGGGUUAGGACUGGCAUCACGAUCAGAGGUAUCUAGAAGAACGGCAUGGGAAGGCCGGCCAUAGAGGGUGAGAGCCCCGUAUUUGAAAGAGAAGACUGACAGCCAGUAUCCAGAGUACCGCGGGACACGUGAAACCCCGUGGGAAGAUGGGUGGACCACCAUCCAAGCCUAAAUACUACCUGAUGACCGAUAGAGGAGCAGUACCGUGAGGGAAAGGUGAAAAGGACCCCGGGAGGGGAGUGAAAGAGAACCUGAAACCUUGUGCUUACAAGCACUCAAAGCACGUUAAUGUGUGAUGAGGUACUUUUUGUAGAACGGUCCGGCGAGUUAUAGUAACGAGCAAGCUUAAGGUAUUCAGUACCGGAGGCGAAGCGAGAGCGAGUCUGAAUAGGGCGUAAAAAGUUCGUUGCCAUAGACCCGAAACCGGGUGACCUAACCAUGAGCAGGCUGAAGUGAGAGUAAAAUCUCAUGGAGGGCCGAACGCACGUUCGUUGCAAUGACCGGCGAUGACUUGUGGUUAGCGGAGAAAUUCCAAUCGAACUCGGAGAUAGCUGGUUCUCCCCGAAAUAGCUUUAGGGCUAGCGUUGAUUUAGAUUACCGGAGGUAAAGCACUGAAUGGGCUAGGGGGCGAUAAGCUUACUGAACCCUAUCAAACUCUGAAUGCCGGCUAAUUGAUGAUCAGCAGUCAGACAGUGUGAGAUAAGUUUCAUUGUCAAAAGGGAAACAGCCCAGACCUACAGCUAAGGUCCCAAAUGUAUGCUAAGUGGAAAACGAUGUGGAGUUGCGAAAACAACCAGGAUGUUGGCUUAGAAGCAGCCACUCAUUAAAAGAGUGCGUAAUAGCUCACUGGUCGAGUGACUCUGCGCGGAAAAUAUAACGGGGCUAAGUAUGCAACCGAAGCUUAGGAUGUCCGCAAGGGCGUGGUAGGGGAGCGUCGUGUACGGGGUGAAGUCGCAGCGGAAGCAGCGGUGGACUGUACAGGAGUGAGAAUGCCGGAAUGAGUAGCGAGAAUUAUGUGGGAAUCAUAAUGGCCGAAAAUCUAAGGUUUCUUGGGGAAGGUUCGUCCGCCCAAGGUAAGCCGGGAGCUAAGGCGAGGCCGCGAGGCGUAGUCGAUGCACAUACGGUAGAAAUUCCGUAGCCACCGAACUUUAAACCAGAAGGACACUUUCAGAUAGCGGGACCCAGCCGUUGGUAGAGCUGGGCGCAAGGGACCGAAAUAUAGUAGGGAAGUCCGCGAUGCUGGGAGGCGAGAAAAGCUCUGGUGUACACUAAGGUGCCCGUACCGCAAACCGACACAGGUAGAUGAGGAGAGAAUCCUAAGGCCAACGGGAGAAGGGUUGUUAAGGAACUCGGCAAAUUGACCCCGUAACUUCGGAAGAAGGGGAGCCUCGAAAGAGGCCGCAGUGAAUAGGCCCAAGCAACUGUUUACCAAAAACACAGGUCUAUGCUAAAUCGAAAGAUGACGUAUAUGGGCUGACGCCUGCCCGGUGCCGGAAGGUUAAGAGGAGAGCUUAGCGCAAGCGAAGGUUUGAAUUGAAGCCCCGGUAAACGGCGGCCGUAACUAUAACGGUCCUAAGGUAGCGAAAUUCCUUGUCAGGUAAGUUCUGACCCGCACGAAUGGCGUAACGAUUUGGGCGCUGUCUCGGCGAGAGGCUCGGCGAAAUUGGAUUAUCCGUGAAGAUACGGAUUACGUGUACCAGGACAGAAAGACCCUAUUGAGCUUUACUGUAGCUUGAAAUUGAAUUCGGGUUCUCAUUGCGCAGUAUAGGUGGGAGACUAAGAAGCUUGAACUUUGGUUUAAGUGGAGUCAUCGUUGAGAUACCACUCUGUAAUAAUUUGAAUUCUAACACUGAUCCCUCUAAUAACAGGGCAGUGGACAGUUUCUGGUAGGCAGUUUGACUGGGGCGGUCGCCUCCUAAAAAGUAACGGAGGCGUUCAAAGGUUCCCUCAGGUUGGUCGGAAAUCAACCGUUGAGUGCAAUAGCAAAAGGGAGCUUGACUGUGAGACCUACAAGUCGAGCAGGUACGAAAGUAGGAUAUAGUGAUCCGGUGGUUCUGCAUGGAAGGGCCAUCGCUCAUCGGAUAAAAGUUACCAUAGGGAUAACAGGCUUAUCUCCCCCAAGAGUCCACAUCGACGGGGAGGUUUGGCACCUCGAUGUCGGCUCGUCGCAUCCUGGGGCUGAAGCAGGUCCCAAGGGUUUGGCUGUUCGCCAAUUAAAGCGGCACGCGAGCUGGGUUCAGAACGUCGUGAGACAGUUCGGUCCCUAUCCAUCGUGGGCGUAGGAGUCAUGAGAGGAGCUGUUCCUAGUACGAGAGGACCGGAAUGGACGCACCACUGGUGCAACUGUUGUCGUGCCAACGGCAUAGCAGGGAAGCGAAGUGCGGAUGGGAUAAACGCUGAAGGCAUCUAAGCGUGAAGCCCACCUCAAGAAUAAGACUCCACAAUAGACCCCUGGAGGACUACCAGGUAGAUAGGUCAUCGGUGGAAGCGCUGUAAGGCGUGU
rnacentral:rRNA from 1 species